rnacentral:rRNA from 1 species
GUUAUAUGGUCAAGUGAAGAAGCGCAUACGGUGGAUGCCUUGGCAGUCAGAGGCGAUGAAAGACGUGGUAGCCUGCGAAAAGCUUCGGGGAGUCGGCAAACAGACUUUGAUCCGGAGAUCUCUGAAUGGGGGAACCCACCUAGGAUAACCUAGGUAUCUUGUACUGAAUCCAUAGGUGCAAGAGGCGAACCAGGGGAACUGAAACAUCUAAGUACCCUGAGGAAAAGAAAUCAACCGAGAUUCCCUUAGUAGUGGCGAGCGAACGGGGAUUAGCCCUUAAGCUUCAUUGAUUUUAGCGGAACGCUCUGGAAAGUGCGGCCAUAGUGGGUGAUAGCCCCGUACGCGAAAGGAUCUUUGAAGUGAAAUCGAGUAGGACGGAGCACGAGAAACUUUGUCUGAACAUGGGGGGACCAUCCUCCAAGGCUAAAUACUACUGACUGACCGAUAGUGAACCAGUACCGUGAGGGAAAGGCGAAAAGAACCCCGGAGAGGGGAGUGAAAUAGAACCUGAAACCGUAUGCGUACAAGCAGUGGGAGCCUACUUGUUAGGUGACUGCGUACCUUUUGUAUAAUGGGUCAGCGACUUAUAUUCAGUGGCGAGCUUAACCGUAUAGGGUAGGCGUAGCGAAAGCGAGUCUUAAUAGGGCGUUUAGUCGCUGGGUAUAGACCCGAAACCGGGCGAUCUAUCCAUGAGCAGGUUGAAGGUUAGGUAACACUGACUGGAGGACCGAACCCACUCCCGUUGAAAAGGUAGGGGAUGACUUGUGGAUCGGAGUGAAAGGCUAAUCAAGCUCGGAGAUAGCUGGUUCUCCUCGAAAGCUAUUUAGGUAGCGCCUCAUGUAUCACUCUGGGGGGUAGAGCACUGUUUCGGCUAGGGGGUCAUCCCGACUUACCAAACCGAUGCAAACUCCGAAUACCCAGAAGUGCCGAGCAUGGGAGACACACGGCGGGUGCUAACGUCCGUCGUGAAAAGGGCAACAACCCAGACCGCCAGCUAAGGUCCCAAAGUUGUGGUUAAGUGGUAAACGAUGUGGGAAGGCUUAGACAGCUAGGAGGUUGGCUUAGAAGCAGCCAUCCUUUAAAGAAAGCGUAAUAGCUCACUAGUCGAGUCGGCCUGCGCGGAAGAUGUAACGGGGCUCAAACCACACACCGAAGCUGCGGGUGUCACGUAAGUGACGCGGUAGAGGAGCGUUCUGUAAGCCUGUGAAGGUGAGUUGAGAAGCUUGCUGGAGGUAUCAGAAGUGCGAAUGCUGACAUGAGUAACGACAAUGGGUGUGAAAAACAUCCACGCCGAAAGACCAAGGGUUCCUGCGCAACGUUAAUCGACGCAGGGUUAGUCGGUUCCUAAGGCGAGGCUGAAAAGCGUAGUCGAUGGGAAACAGGUUAAUAUUCCUGUACUUCUGGUUACUGCGAUGGAGGGACGGAGAAGGCUAGGCCAGCUUGGCGUUGGUUGUCCAAGUUUAAGGUGGUAGGCUGAAAUCUUAGGUAAAUCCGGGGUUUCAAGGCCGAGAGCUGAUGACGAGUCGUCUUUUAGAUGACGAAGUGGUUGAUGCCAUGCUUCCAAGAAAAGCUUCUAAGCUUCAGGUAACCAGGAACCGUACCCCAAACCGACACAGGUGGUCGGGUAGAGUAUACCAAGGCGCUUGAGAGAACUCGGGUGAAGGAACUAGGCAAAAUGGCACCGUAACUUCGGGAGAAGGUGCGCCGGCUAGGGUGAAGGAUUUACUCCGUAAGCUCUGGCUGGUCGAAGAUACCAGGCCGCUGCGACUGUUUAUUAAAAACACAGCACUCUGCAAACACGAAAGUGGACGUAUAGGGUGUGACGCCUGCCCGGUGCCGGAAGGUUAAUUGAUGGGGUUAGCGCAAGCGAAGCUCUUGAUCGAAGCCCCAGUAAACGGCGGCCGUAACUAUAACGGUCCUAAGGUAGCGAAAUUCCUUGUCGGGUAAGUUCCGACCUGCACGAAUGGCGUAACGAUGGCGGCGCUGUCUCCACCCGAGACUCAGUGAAAUUGAAAUCGCUGUGAAGAUGCAGUGUAUCCGCGGCUAGACGGAAAGACCCCGUGAACCUUUACUGUAGCUUUGCACUGGACUUUGAGCCUGCUUGUGUAGGAUAGGUGGGAGGCUUUGAAGCGUGGACGCCAGUUCGCGUGGAGCCAUCCUUGAAAUACCACCCUGGCAUGCUUGAGGUUCUAACUCUGGUCCGUAAUCCGGAUCGAGGACAGUGUAUGGUGGGCAGUUUGACUGGGGCGGUCUCCUCCUAAAGAGUAACGGAGGAGUACGAAGGUGCGCUCAGACCGGUCGGAAAUCGGUCGCAGAGUAUAAAGGCAAAAGCGCGCUUGACUGCGAGACAGACACGUCGAGCAGGUACGAAAGUAGGUCUUAGUGAUCCGGUGGUUCUGUAUGGAAGGGCCAUCGCUCAACGGAUAAAAGGUACUCCGGGGAUAACAGGCUGAUACCGCCCAAGAGUUCAUAUCGACGGGGUUGUUUGGCACCUCGAUGUCGGCUCAUCACAUCCUGGGGCUGAAGCCGGUCCCAAGGGUAUGGCUGUUCGCCAUUUAAAGUGGUACGCGAGCUGGGUUUAGAACGUCGUGAGACAGUUCGGUCCCUAUCUGCCGUGGACGUUUGAGAUUUGAGAGGGGCUGCUCCUAGUACGAGAGGACCGGAGUGGACGAACCUCUGGUGUUCCGGUUGUCACGCCAGUGGCAUUGCCGGGUAGCUAUGUUCGGAAAAGAUAACCGCUGAAAGCAUCUAAGCGGGAAACUUGCCUCAAGAUGAGAUCUCACUGGGAACUUGAUUCCCCUGAAGGGCCGUCGAAGACUACCACGUUGAUAGGCCUGGGUGUGUAAGCGUUGUGAGGCGUUGAGCUAACCAGUACUAAUUGCCCGUGAGGCUUGACCAUAUAACACCCAAACA